UGAGGAUUGUUCUUACCGUCUGUCAUCCCCAUCAUCAUCCAGCACAGGUAUCGUCGUCGUCGAGCCUGCAUAACCACGGAUAAUGGUGAUGGAAGUUUUUUUUUUUUCUUAGCAGUAUUCACACCGUUACCAAAGGAAAAAAAGUCACAAUCGAAAAGCCCAUUCAUUCGCGCGUAUUAUAACUCUUGAUGAAUAAUAAAGAUCGAAGAGACUGAGCAUCAUUUUUGGAUUCCAAAGUAAUACUGUACACCACGAAAAUUCGAAAUCUUAAUAAAUGGCGGACGUCGGAACGAAUGAUAAGCGGUUUGGCCUGAUGUGUCCAAAAAAAAAAGCGUUAUCGAUUCCAAGAGCGAGCAAUGUAUUUGGGAAUGAGGAAGAAUCUUCCGACGAGGAUGGAUCGGAUUGGGUUAAGAAAGCUUUGAGAGCCGAAGGCCAGAAAAAUCUUGCAAAGAAACAGACUCGUUUAAAUAUAGAAAAAGCCUUGAAACAAGAUCCUACGAUAUGUCAGUAUGACGAAGUAUUCGAUAACAUGAAGAAGGACGUGGAGGAAAAGGACAGAAAAAAAAAGACACAGGUAAAGAAGGCCAAGUAUAUCGAUGAUUUAUUGAAAACGGCGGAGAGAAGGAAGAGAGAGCAAGAACAUAGAAUAGAGCGUAUGGUGCAAAAAGAGCGAGAGGCAGAAGGAGCAACAUUCGCGGACAAAGAGAGUUUUGUUACGUCAGCUUACAGAGCUAAGCUCGAGGAGUUCAAUAAAAUGGAAAAAGAAGAAGAGAAAAUAGAUCGUUUGGAAUCUAUAGGUGAUGUUACCAAACAGCCCGACAUGUCUGGAUUUUAUAGACACUUGUAUAGACGAACAAUGGACGACGAUGAAUCACCUGACAAUACCAGUACUUUAGAGGUAAGCAAUUCGAAUGGUGAUCGCAAAUUAAAGCUCUCACCCGAACCUCGAGCAAACGUAAAACAACGAACCCGUCAAUAUCGUCAACGAGCCACGGAAUCGCCACUCUCCGAGUCAGAGAUCGAUCAAACUGUCGUCCAAACGAUAAACAAGGAAAUUUCGAUGGAGGAAAGAAUCACUUCCGACGACACGAAAGAUGAGCUGGGUGGUAAAAAAAUUCAUCAUUCUACCGCCGACGAAGCAUGUUCGGAUAAAGAGAGCAAUAGAGCUCGCAGGAACAUAACGAUUGACGAGAGAGAAACAGCACUGAUCGAUGCCAAGAAUUCCGUGGUACAUACGGAAUUUAAUGAGAACGGAGAAAAAGUGGAAAAGAUUGGGAAAACAACCAAAGUUUCCAUUUGGGAAAAAAGAACAGUUGGACCAAUUUUUGUUGCAGCACUUGAACGUUAUUACGCGCGGAAAGCAAUGCAACUCGGUGGUUCGUAGAUCAUUCUCAACGUCUUUGAGAUACGUUUUACAUUAUUGCUAGAAACACGCAGAGUUUACCAUAAAAUUGUCGUAUAUUUUUGUUAAGUGAAUAACGUUGUACAAUAAUUUAUAUACGGUGAACGAAAAACAAAAAAAGAAAAAAAAAAGCGGCUCCUUACCAUUGGUUGGCUCUCUACCCGACUUGUUUGAUGUACGAGUCGAAACAGCGCGGAAGGCACACAUUUCAUUCUGAACCUUUCGCACCCAUAUACUAGGUCAACGGUUUACCUAUGACGGGUGGUUUACCGUACUCGCUGCUGCGGCAUGAUAUAGGACAAUCUCAACCACGGCUGACCACGGCGAUUGGGCGUUCCGAGGAGAUCGGGCCCAUUAGGACACCGAGGACACCCCUUAUGGGAGUUAAAUUUUUUGAGUGGUUCUAACCCUGUCAGGGCGACUGGCGUGUGCAUAUACAACUUGUGACAAGGUGCUCGGACCUCAUAACUUCUGUGCUUUGUUGGAAGAAACACAUUAGCAGUUCCAGUGCGAAAGUCAAUCAUUACCGAUCUUGCUGAUUUGAAAUGGACCGGCAGUCUACGCUGGGGCGAUACAGUUAUAUUGCCACCCAUGGAGAAUGUCCCCGGUGGAUUCUUGUCGGCAACUGGAGACUGCAAAAUUUUAGAAAAUCCUUAUCCGACAAAGGAUAAGGGCAGCUGAGAAAGACCACAGCGAUAAGGAAACAACGAUGAUGUACCCAUCCAUAUACUAUGCAACAAUUCGCACGGAAAUAGGUCCUAGACUUGACGGGAAACCUUAAGUUCAAUGAGACAAGCUGCGACAGUGAAAGCUUCGAUUCGCUGAUCAAUAUUCGCCGAAUGAAAAAAAAAAAACUGGGGAAAAUCGAUUGCUGCUCGAACGCGAAAAAAAUUAUGUGAAUGCACCGCUUCCAACGAACUGGAAAGAAUGUCAUUGAAACUCGUCGAGAGUGCAAUUGCAAAAGCUCGCUCAAUCCGCUGGAUCUUCGUUGCAUCCUUCCAUGGCGUUUCUACUCAACAACACAAAUACUGAAGUACUCAAUGGAAAUGUUUCCCCAAAAUAGAGACCUGAAUAGGGACAAUUUCCGAACUGCUGAACGUCUGCGAGUCCACGUGUAAUUUGGUCGUUUCAUAUGUUAAUUUUCAAAAAAUAAAUUUUGUCUUCGAAAGGAAAAAAACAAA